GCCCUUCUGCGCACAAAUUGUACCUUCUCGUAAAUUAAUAUUCCUGGAAGAAAAACAGUAAGGCUAUUCGUGUAAUUUUGAAAAUCUAAAUGGAAAAAAAGAAGAAAAGGAAAAACACCUGACACACUCGUACAGAGAAAAUGGAGGAUGAAACUUGGAGAACAAGUACAACACAAGCUAAGGGAGAAGAAAAUAUUAAAACAAAAAUUGAGAAUGGAGAAAAAACUUCCCAGCUCCCAGUAGCAUCUGUACGGUGAGCGACUGUAGCUCAAGGUCUCAACUUCUCAGCUGUAGGUAGAACAGAAAGCUGGUGCCGAGUUGAGUGUGAUGGGCAGAGGUAGAAAGAGGUCAGGGAAAGACCCAGAAGCGGGUUUUGGAGAAAAUGAUAGGGGUUUAGAGAAGAAAGAGGGCGUUUUGGAAAAUCAAAAUGGUGGGACAAAAUGGGUAGGUGAAGAAGGUGAUGGGGUUGCUUUGAGUUUGAAGAAGAAGAAGCGUGGUGGAGCUUCGGCGGGUGAGAAAGUUGUGGAAGGUGGGGAUGGAGCAAAAUGGGAAGAGGGUAAAGGCAAUUGGGUUGCUCCGACUUGGAAGAAAUAUAGUAGGCGGAGGAAGAGGGACAGAGAUUUGGUGCCUGAGAAAGUUGGGGAAGGUGGUGAUAGAGGUAGAAAGAAAUGCCAAAUGUGUUCUGAGAAUCGGACUGGGAGUGAUGAGAAAUGGGGUCCAAUGGGUCUGGGGAAUGAGAAAGUUUAUGUCUUUAGUGAGUUGGACUCUCAAGAAGGUCAAGAACAAGGAAGUACUGGUUUUAGUGGCAAGGAAGUUGAAGGAGCUUCAGCAAAGAAACGUGGUAGACAGAGUAAGAAAAGUGAGAAAGUCAAGGCAUCUGAAAGGGGAAUGGAGAAGCUUGUCAGUGGGAAUUGUAUUGUUAAUAAGAAGAGUGCAUAUGUUGAGAAGGUGUCUUUGAUGUGCCAUCAAUGUCAGAGGAAUGACAAGGCCAGUGUUGUUCGGUGCAGAAGGUGCAAGAGAAAGCGGUUUUGUGUCUCUUGCCUAAAAAAAUGGUAUCCUCAGAUGCCAGAGGAUGCUAUUGCUGAGGCUUGUCCUGUAUGCCGUGGAAAUUGCAAUUGCAAAGCAUGCUUACGCUUAGAUGUACCUAAACUGCAAUUCUGCAUUAGCAAAGAUAAAAAAGUUGAGCACUCAAAGUAUUUGCUCCAAGUACUACUUCCAUUCUUGAAAAGAGUUAAUGAUGAACAAAUGAUUGAGAUGGAGAUCGAGGCUAGGAGACAUGGGCUAUCUCUUUCGGAGCUAAAUAUACAAAGAUCAUAUUCCUCCUAUGGUGAUAAAGUGUACUGCAACAACUGCAAAACUUCUAUUAUUGAUUUAUACAGAAGCUGUCCUAUAUGUUCAUAUGUUCUUUGCCUCAUCUGUUGCCGAGAGAUUCGAGAUGGACACCUGCUGGGAGGUGGGGAGGAAGUGAUUAUGGACUAUAUCAAUCAGGGCCUAAACUAUUUGCAUGGUGAAAAUCGGGACGCUGUAGAACUGCCUUCAGAAACUAGCCACACUUGUCGUACAGGGUCAACAUCCGAGAGAAAAGCAAAUUUAGAUGGAAGUAUUUUUUGCCCCCAGAGAACAAGGAUGGCGGCGGUCAAAGUUUUCUAGAAUUGAGAUGCAUGUUUUCUGAAAAUGAUGUCAGAGAGUUGGUUAAGAAAGCAGAGGAAAUUGCUCAAACUUACAAAUUUACGCACUCAGCUGGAAUUUCUGCACAACAGUGUUCAUGUUCUAAUUCUGCAGGUGUUCUUGACUUGAGCAGCAAUAAGUUAAGGAAAGCAGCUUCUCGAGAGGGUUCUGAUGACAACUUCUUGUACUGUCCAAGGGCUGGAGAUAUCCAACAUGAGGAGUUUAAGCAUUUUCAAUGUCAUUGGAUCAGAGGUGAGCCUGUGAUUGUGAGCAAUGUGCUUGAAACUGCAUCAGGUCUAAGCUGGGAACCAACGGUCAUGUGGCGUGCUUGUCGUGAGAUGAAACAUACUAGGCAUAAGAAACAUUUGGAAGUCAAGGCCAUUGAUUGCUUAGAUUGGUGUGAGCUAGAUAUCGGUAUCCACAAGUUUUUUUACUGGAUAUUCAAAAGGCCGUUUUGAUCGGAAAAUGUGGCCGCAGAUGCUAAAACUCAACGAUCCGUCCCUGGAUGACUUUUUCAAAGAGCGCCUUCCUCGUCACUGUGCCGAGUUUAUUUGCUACUUGCCGUUUAAGGAAUAUACUCAUCCUCACAGAGGCUUUUUGAACCUUGCUGUUAAAUUGCCCAAGGAAUGUGUAAAGCCAGAUAUGGAACCAAAGACAUAUAUUGCUUAUGGUGUUUCCGAGGAGCUUGGACGUGGAGAUUCUGUAACCAAGCUUCACUGCAAUUCCUGUGAUGUGGUUAUUCAUCCCAUACAUGAUCAGACCUUAGAGCACAAAAGGAAGCUCAAGGAAGAAUAUGGAAUUGAACCAUGGACAUUUAUCCAAAAACUGGGGGAUGCUGUUUUAAUUCCGGCAGGAUGUCCACACCAAGUGAGAAACUUGAAGUCGUGCAUUAAAGUCGCACUUGAAUUUGUCUCUCCUGAAAAUGUUGGGGAGUGCAUACGGUUGACACAAAUGAAUUCCGCACACUUCCACAAAAUCAUAGGGCUAAAGAGGACAAAUUGGAGGUGAAGAAAAUGAUUGUUCAUUCUGUGCGUUGGCUUGUGAAGUAUUUGAAUCAAAAUAUGAGACAUGUAUGCAGAGAUGAAUCUGGAGAAAGCCAGCAAGAAGGAAUGGCAGAAGAGGGUGAAGUCCAAGCUGUUGACAAGCAGCCCACACAGAAAGACAGAAGGGUUGAAGAAGAGGAAAUGCACUUGGUUAAAGAGCAGCCUUCACCUGCCCCUGUUGUACAAUGCAGAACUGUACAUGCAUGGAGAGAGGAAGAAUCUGUAGGACAGCAAGACGGAAUGGAAAAAGAGGAGGUCCAAGUUGUUGUAAAGCAGCCUUCACAGCCCCCUGUUGAAGGAGGUAAAACUGGGCAUGCAUUGGAAGAGGAAGAAGCUGGAGGACAGCAAGAAGGAAUGGGAGAAGAGGAGGUCCAAGUUUUUGAGGAGAAGCCUUCACAGUCCCCUGUUGAACGAUGUAGAACUAGACAUGCAUGGAGAGGGGAAGAAGCUGGAGCACAGAAACAAGGAAUGGUAGAAGAGGAGGAGGUCCAAGUUGUUGAGGAGCAGCCUCCACAACCCCCUGUUGAACGAUGUAGAAUUGGACAUGAAUGGAGAGACAAAGAAGCUGGAGCACAGCAAGAAGGAAUGGUAGAAGAGGAGGUCCUCCUAGUUGUUGAGGAGCAGCCUUCACAACCCCCUGUUGAACGAUGUAAGAUCGGACAUGCAUGGAGAGGGGAAGAAGCUGGAGGACAGAAAGAAGGAAGUGGUGAUGAGGAAGAGGUCCAAGGUGCGGAGGAGCAGCGAUCCUCCUCACAUCCUGCACAGUCCACUGUUGAACGACGUAGCAUUGGACAUGCACUAAGAGAGGUGGAAGGAGGACAACAAGAAGGAUGGAAAGAAGAGGAAGAGGUAGUUGUGGAGAAGCCUUCACCAUCGUCACAGUCUGGAGGAGACGAGGAAGAGGUAGUUGUUGUGGAGAAGCCUCCACAAUCAUCACAGUUUCGACACACCACUGUUGAUCUUGUUACAGUGGUGCAGCAUCUCGAUGGCCUCGUGGAACGCAUUACACAUUUUGAACAGACAAUGGAAGAGAGAGAUAGAGUGCAGCAUCCUGAAUUCCAGCGCAUACGUUCAGAUUUAUUGAAUUUAUCUUCCCGUCUUGGUUUCACAUCUCACCCGAGAGAGCCUGGCAUCCACCAUCCUCUCAACAGCUGAAGACCAAAGACCUUUAAAUUUUAGGAUUUGUCAUUUUGAUGAUGUAUGCAAACUUUGGAUCAAUGGUUCACUUUUUGUCUUAGUGUACUUAAUCAAUGACAGUUGAUUUUGGAAUCAAAUUCUCAUUCUGUGCU